CCGCAGCCGCCUGCCCGCCCGCCCGCGAGGAUCGAUAACUCAUUUCGCCGCCACGGCCGCCCCAGCUUCUCCCUGAUAAUUGAGCGGCGGCUGCGGCGCUGAGCGAAGCCCCUGCACGCGAUCGAUGGAGCCGCCCCGGGCGAGGGGAAGUGCGGUUCUCCCUCUCCGGCUCCCGCGGCUCCCUGAGCUCGGCCUCGGGCUUCCAAGGCACCGAGGGGGGCGGGGCGUGCACGGACGUCACUGCUGGCAGCUUUCUUGUUUUUUUGUUUUUGUUUUUUAAGACAAGGUCUCCCAUACAGCUCAGGCCAGCCCUGAACUCUCAGCGAUUCUCCUGCCUCAGCCUCCUGGAUGCUGGAAUUACAGGCGUGCACCACCAAGCGUGCCCAGCUUCCUCUCCGGGCUUUUCCAGAUGCACUGGCUACCCCUGUUCUGACUUGGGGGAGCAAGGACCAAGAUGUGACCAGGACCCCUGGGUUCCAAUCUAGACUCCACCACGUCCCAGUGUGCCUCAGUUUCCCCAUCUCCCCAAAGGGGUCUGGCAUGGCCCCAGGCCCACAGAAGUGUUGCUGAGAACCAGUGAGGUGGCGUCUGAAGAAAGGCUCCGUGCACGUGGCUGUCCACGCACACCUCCUGUGCUCUGGGCACCGGGUCACCUAGGCCGGCGGGAGAGACAGGCGACAAACACUGUGAAGUCAACGCUGCGCACGGAGAGAACAGCAAGGUACCGUCCAGCGAGCACUGGGUCCUGACUCAGGACUGGACUUGCCCGCUGUGUGACGCAGGCGGUCCCGGCCUUCUGUGUCCCUUGGCUGACCGAGGACGGUGUGUGGAGUCCCGUACUGCCCGGGAGAGGGUGGGCCUGGACUCAGCAGGGAUGGGCUGAGGCCAUCUCAGGACUCCCUCUGCCCCCCAUAGAGGAGGGGGACAAGGAGGUGGCCGGGUGAGCCCCGGCAGGCCAACCCGAGUCCUGGCACCUGUCCUGAGGGAGGAGGGACUGUCAGGGGACCUUAGCAUCCUGGGGUUGAGGGGCUCCGAGUCCCCCUAUCCUGCCCUGUGGGUGGUCCCGCUCCCGCCAUCUGCAGGGGGCUCCGGUGUAGCAGCUGCCCUGAGGUCAUGGGGAGGGGGCUCCACCGGGCACAGGAUGGGUCCCCAGACUCCAGGCCAUGACCAUGGGGCAGCCUUCUGGCCAGGGCCCAGCCCUGGGGCGUGGUGGUGCACACCUGUAACUCCAGUACUCGGGAGGCUGAGGCAGGAGAAUCACCGAAAGUUCCAGGCCAGUCUGAGUUACAUAGUGAGUUCAAGGCCAGCCUGGACUACAUAGGGAGACCCUGUCUCAAAAAAAAGCAAAGUGGGGCCAGGGAUUCAGUUGAGUGGUUCUGUGCCUGCCUCGAAAGCACAAAGGCCUAAGUUCGACCAAGGAAGGAAGGAAGGUACUCCAGCGUCCACGCUGGUGCAGUCAACACUGCCCACCUGUCCUGGCUUCUUUUCCUGCCUGCCCGACCCCUCGCUUGUGUGCCAGGAAUGCACCCCCAAACCCCUUUCUUCCAUACCUCCCUUCAGGGAACCCAGGCCGAAGCAGGUGUUCUGGGAGAAACUGUGUUCCCUGAAUUCACACCCUGAAGCCCUGACCCCGGCCUUGGAACGGGGCAGUGUUUGGAGAUUCAGCACUGCAGCCUGAGAGCGAGGUCCGCUCUCCCCGUCAGACUUGGGACCUCACCCCCAGUGGGUGUCAUUAAGCAGUAAGGGGUGAGGCUCGGUCUUGGCCCCUCUGUGGGCUUGGCCUUCGGAGUGUGUUGGCCGUGCCUGGAAUGGGAGGGAGAAGCAGCAGCCAGGAGCCAGGGGGAGGCACUGAGCCCACCCACACCUCGACCCCGGGGUCCUGAGAACAUUGGCCCUGGCUGCAAAGAAACCACUGGGUCUAUGGGGUCCUUGGUAGUUACUGCAGCAGCUCAGAUACGGGGUCUUUGCUUGCUUUUUUUUUUUUUUGGUACCAGGGAUUGAACUCAGGUCCUUGCGCUUGCGCAGCAGGUGGUGAAACCACUGAGCUAAAUCCCCAGCCCCUGCUUGGUUUGUUUUUGAGACAGGGUCUCACUAUGCAGUGUGGACUGACCUCGAACUCACUGUGUAGCCCAGACUGGCCUCGAACUCACAGGGAUCCUCCUGCCUCAGCCUCCCAGAGGGCUGGGAUCACAGGCGUGCGCCACCACGCCCAGCAACCCUGAGGCUUUUGAGAGGCCAAAGAUGGACCCAGGGUCAGCAGCAGUCGGUAGCUGGGCUGGGCUGGAGUGGGAGUCUCGGACAGCGGAGUGUGGGCUGUGGACCUGGUGAUCUCGGGGUCCCCUUGUCUGCCCCUCGGCCUCCUCCUCCUCCUCCUCUGGCCUUGUCUGCCUCUGUGGCCCCUCGCUUCCCCUUGGGCCUCUGCUGCUGCUGCUGCGCUGAGGUUUCCGGCUCAUUCCUUCCCCUCCUGCCUUUGAAGGCUCCUCUGCUGCCAGCUACACACGCGCACACAGUCGGCUUUCUCGCCCAUCCUCCCUGCUCCCUGCUGCACAGCAGCCUCCUGAGGCUUUCGGGGCUCCCCUGCAGCCCCCGUGCUCACACCCUAACACCCCCCCAUGCUCCCUGGCAGCUCUGCCGGUGCAGGGGGCAGGGGGCCGGGCCAGCCGCCUCCCACUGGGGACCAGGAGCCAGGCUCAGCACCCUUCCUGGGAGCCACCAGGGCCAAGGGCUGGGGAGCGGGAGGUCCCUGACCCCACUGCCCCCACCCAGGAGCAGGCCCAGCCCCUCCAUGCCUGUCCUGUGCACCCCCCCUGCUCAGCAGGGACCCUCAAAGACUGGUGGGGGGUGCAGGAAAGAGGGAAGGAUCCAAGGAAAGGAGCCAGGGAAGGCGGGAGGGAGGAAGCGAUGCUGCUGACACAGGCUCACUCACUCAGAGCAGUUGUGCUGCCUCACAGGGUCAGAGAGGCAGAGUAAGGUGCUCAGCGCAGCACAGCCCCAGCCUGGCUCUGACCGCCUGGGCCAGGCAGGGGGAGGGGGCAGGGGAGGAGCCGCCCCGAGACCCUGGUGACCCUGGCCAGGCUUGUCCCCUUCGGGCAGCCCGGGCUGAGGGGAAGGAAGUCGCCACUGUGCACCUGCUGGGCCGAAGAACCCACUGCUCAGCAGUCUGUGCCUCUACCCUCAGCCCCUCCAACCAUGAGCUCCGCAGGUCCCUGUGUCUCUGUUGCCAGCCGCAGGGACACUGGCCUCUGGACACCGCCCUGCAUGGAGCAGCCACCAGCCAGAUCUGUCUCUCAUUCAUCACGGGAGCAAGUGGCCUGGGGUCAGGAUGAGGGACAGCCACCCAGAGUGGCAGUCGGGCAAGGCUGCCUGGAGGAAACAAGAAGGGAAGAGAGCAGCUGGGGGUGAGGCCUGGACACCCAGGACCGGGCCCCAAAGGACCCCAGGGGCUGGCAGGGCCUUCUGCAGAGCCCUGCCCUGGGCUGGGGUCUGUGAGCGGGCAGGCAUGGGAGUCACAGUGCACGCCACACACACAAAGCCUGUGCACACACCAGGGCGCAGCAGCGUGCACAGAUAGAUCUGCACACACACCUUCGGUGCACACCUGUGCCCACACCUGUGUCCUGUGCUGUUGCUCCCUGUGUUUGCAGGGGGGGAAGACUGAGGCUGGAGGGAGUUUAACAGCAGGGCUGGAGUCACCACCCAGGGCUCUGGGACCCUGGCUGCGAAGGACAUUUUCAGGUUUCUGGAAUCAACAGCCUCCUGCUCCCGCUCCCGGGCUGGCCCGGCUGGUGGGGCGGGGCUCCCUGGGGGCUAGGGGAUGGAAAGUCCCAGGCAGGGCUCCUGAGGGGCCUGGUGGCCUUGUCACCACACACACUGCCUCCUCUUCCCGGAUCACAGAGCUGGCUGAGAACUGGGAGAAGGGCUGAUGAAGCCCCCUGCCUCAGUUUCCUGUGGCUGCUGUAAGUGGUGAACCCAAAGUGGCUUAAACAACACAAAUGUGUUUCCUUACAACCUGGGGCUCAGGAGCCCAAGCUCAAGGUGUCCACAGGAUGCACAGCUUCCAGGCCUCAGGGAAGGGGUCUCACGUCUGUUCUGGCCUCUCCAGCCCGCCUGCAGUCCUGGGCUUGUGGCCUCCUCCUCCUCCUCAAAGCCAAUGGCCACCAGCACCUAGCUCAGGGCUGGGGCCUGAAUGAGGCCAGCUUCUGUUGGAGGCUGGGUGCUUCUCAAAGAAAAGAGCUUUUUUAGCUCACGGUUUUGGAGGCUGAAAGCCCAAGAUCAGAUGGCACCUCCUGGGGCAGCACAUGCGGAAGGGGUCGACAGAACAGUGGUGAAACAGGGACCCAGAAAGACGCAAGACUCGUGGCCGGGCUCUCAGGGAAAGUAGCCCUCCUGGGGAGGACACAAAGGAAGUCUUUGACCAGGCCCAAAGACACUUCCAGGAGCUGCAUGCGGGGAGCCCUUCUGCCAGUCCCAAUGACGGCCUCCUGCCCCCUUCCCAGGGGACGGCCAUGGAUUCCAUGCAGUUGUUGAGCCCUCAGGGCAGGUUAGGAAGAGCUCAGGGUGCAGAGUACAGACCUGUGCCAUGGGUCUUCAUGGGGUCUCCCCUCUACCUAAAGACAGCCACAUCCCUCCUGGAUCCUGCAGAACUCACUGUGUGGCUCAGACUGGCCUUGAACUCAAACCAAUCCCCCUGCCUCAGCCUCCUGAGUGCUGGGAUUGCAGGCAAGCACCACCACACCCAGCCAAUUUGCACAUUUCAUGGCCUGCCUGGGCUCCUCCCCAGCUGACCCCAUUCUCCCCUGCCUUCCCUGCCCAGGGGCACGAUGUCCACACUUUGAUUAUUGGAAUAGAGCAGAGCCCUUAACCCAGGUAUGCUGUGGACAGAAUUCAGUGCAACCGGAAACACAGGAGGGAAGAACGUUCCUUCUCCUCCUCCACCAAGCUUUGACCACAGCAGAGCGUUUCAUUCAGGGACCGACACACCCAGCGAGUCCAGUGGCCCAUGGUCCCUGGGCCCCAAUCCCAGGAGGAAUCAUCGCCACCUCGGGGUCACACCCUUUAUUUCAGACCUUGGCUGGAUCUCAGUGAAGCUUAAUUAACAGACGCCUUCGUGUUAUGUCGCAAGUGUGGGUUUUUACACCGCCUUGACAGCUGUACUUCCCAUACUUGGCUUCCUGGGAACCCUAUGUAUUCGCCCUGCAUUUCCACCCAGGACAGCUACACAGGUGUCACCAGAUUCCCCAGAGAUCCGUAGCAAAGACCCUAUGAGCCUGCUGCAGAGAAGCCUGGGAGCAUGGCUAUGUGGGUAAGAAGUGGCCGUCAGGCUUCCCAGAGACACUGCGGGCUGGGCAGCGUCUGGCAGGGUGACAGGUUCCCCGCCAGGGGUGGGCAGGGAAGACAGCGGGGCCACCGGCUAGAGCCCAGGUCUUAAACCCAGACAGACCAGGGAAACAUCUCAAAGCGCCCCAGGCAGAGCCACCCCUGGGGAGUGGGAAGUCGCUGGCCAGGAGACAUCCUCCAGCUCCUGGGGGACCAGGCAAGAGCCUGCUCCUCCCACGGCAAGAUCCCGGCCCCCAGGACCCUUGGGGGCCACCCUGGCUCUGCACUGCCUCAGUCCCAGUCCCUGACCCCCACCCCGGUUCCCUUGUGGGCACACGGACACACGAGCAAGCCCAGCUGGGACUGACCUUCAUUCUACAGCCAUGACACAGGGACAGAAAACACCUGCUCUGGGUCCUAGGAUCAAAGCCCUCCUGCUGUGUACCAGCAGGAUACUUUGGGCAGGCAAUUUUUUUGUUUGUUUCUCUUUUGGCAUUUUGAGGUAGGGUCUCCCUAUGUAGUCCAGGCUGGCCUUGAACUUACAAUGUAGCCCAAGCUGGCCUCAAACUCACAGUGAUCCUCCUGCCUCAGCUCCCCUGGCUCGGCAAGUGAUUUAAUCCACUCUUCCUCACUCUCCCCUUGAGGGUAACUGGGAGGAUUAAAUACAUAAUUAUGAAGUAUUAGGCCCUGGGAUUUAGCUCAGUGGCACCGAACCGCACCUGCCCAGCAAGCACAAGGCCAUGAGUUCAAUCCCCAGUACCAGAAAAAAAAAAGAAUUAAAUACAUGUCAAAUAUCAUCUCGAGCUAAGAGUGGGCCCUGUGAUACAGGAUAGGUCUCCCCUAAGAAUGGAUCCCUAAUUUUAAAAGGGCAUAUGGCUGCCAGGUCUAAAGACUACAAUUCCCAGGAUCCCUUGCAGCAAGGUGUGUGCACAUGACCAAGUUCUGACCAGUGGUAUGACAGCAGAAGUGGUUUGGCCCAUUUCCUGGUAGUUUUCUUUAAAUGACAGGGGUUGAAAUCUCCCUUUUUUCUCCUUUGAACUGGCUAGAAUGUGAGUAGAGAGGCUGGAGCUGGAGCAGCCAUUUAUGCACUGUGAAGCUGCAGCCCUGUGUGUCGAGUGGUGAAAAAUUAGGUCCCCUAUUAGACCUGGAUUGCCUGUACUUCCUUGAGCAAGAAAUAAAUUUUUUCUUGUUUAAAUCACUGUUAUUUGAAGUCUGCCCUUUCUAAAGCAUAACCCAGUGCUCUUUUUUUCUUUUUUCACGCUGGGGAUGGAACCUAGGGCCUGCCACAUGCCAGGUGUGUGCUGUCUACAACUGAGCUAACACCCCAGCCCCUGAAUCUACCUUUUUUUUUGGACAGGGUCUCACUAUGUAGUUCAGGCUGGCCUCAAACUCAAAGAGAUCCUCCUCCCUCAGCCUCCCUAGUGCUGGGAUUACAGGUGUGCACCACGCCCAGCUUGAAUCUGUUUUAACCGGGGCACAGUGAUAAGGUACCUUUCAGGGACCUGUCUAGCUAGUGAGAGACAGUAACCAUGUGAACAAAGCAG
ensembl:lncRNA